AAUACCACCCUUUAAUGUUUGAUGUUCUAACGUUGGCCCGUAAUCCGGGUUGCGGACAGUGUCUGGUGGGUAGUUUGACUGGGGCGGUCUCCUCCUAAAGAGUAACGGAGGAGCACGAAGGUUGGCUAAUCCUGGUCGGACAUCAGGAGGUUAGUGCAAUGGCAUAAGCCAGCUUGACUGCGAGCGUGACGGCGCGAGCAGGUGCGAAAGCAGGUCAUAGUGAUCCGGUGGUUCUGAAUGGAAGGGCCAUCGCUCAACGGAUAAAAGGUACUCCGGGGAUAACAGGCUGAUACCGCCCAAGAGUUCAUAUCGACGGCGGUGUUUGGCACCUCGAUGUCGGCUCAUCACAUCCUGGGGCUGAAGUAGGUCCCAAGGGUAUGGCUGUUCGCCAUUUAAAGUGGUACGCGAGCUGGGUUUAGAACGUCGUGAGACAGUUCGGUCCCUAUCUGCCGUGGGCGCUGGAGAACUGAGGGGGGCUGCUCCUAGUACGAGAGGACCGGAGUGGACGCAUCACUGGUGUUCGGGUUGUCAUGCCAAUGGCACUGCCCGGUAGCUAAAUGCGGAAGAGAUAAGUGCUGAAAGCAUCUAAGCACGAAACUUGCCCCGAGAUGAGUUCUCCCUGAGACUUAGAGUCUCCUGAAGGAACGUUGAAGACGACGACGUUGAUAGGCCGGGUGUGUAAGCGCAGCGAUGCGUUGAGCUAACCGGUACUAAUGAACCGUGAGGCUUAACCUU
rnacentral:rRNA from 1 species